GACGAACGCUGGCGGCGCGCCUAACACAUGCAAGUCGAACGAGCGAGAGAGAGCUUGCUUUCUCGAGCGAGUGGCGAACGGGUGAGUAACGCGUGAGGAACCUGCCUCAAAGAGGGGGACAACAGUUGGAAACGACUGCUAAUACCGCAUAAGCCCACGGCUCGGCAUCGAGCAGAGGGAAAAGGAGCAAUCCGCUUUGAGAUGGCCUCGCGUCCGAUUAGCUAGUUGGUGAGGUAACGGCCCACCAAGGCAACGAUCGGUAGCCGGACUGAGAGGUUGAACGGCCACAUUGGGACUGAGACACGGCCCAGACUCCUACGGGAGGCAGCAGUGGGGAAUAUUGCACAAUGGGGGAAACCCUGAUGCAGCGACGCCGCGUGGAGGAAGAAGGUCUUCGGAUUGUAAACUCCUGUUGUUGGGGAAGAUAAUGACGGUACCCAACAAGGAAGUGACGGCUAACUACGUGCCAGCAGCCGCGGUAAAACGUAGGUCACAAGCGUUGUCCGGAAUUACUGGGUGUAAAGGGAGCGCAGGCGGGAAGACAAGUUGGAAGUGAAAUCUAUGGGCUCAACCCAUAAACUGCUUUCAAAACUGUUUUUCUUGAGUAGUGCAGAGGUAGGCGGAAUUCCCGGUGUAGCGGUGGAAUGCGUAGAUAUCGGGAGGAACACCAGUGGCGAAGGCGGCCUACUGGGCACCAACUGACGCUGAGGCUCGAAAGUGUGGGUAGCAAACAGGAUUAGAUACCCUGGUAGUCCACACCGUAAACGAUGAUUACUAGGUGUUGGAGGAUUGACCCCUUCAGUGCCGCAGUUAACACAAUAAGUAAUCCACCUGGGGAGUACGACCGCAAGGUUGAAACUCAAAGGAAUUGACGGGGGCCCGCACAAGCAGUGGAGUAUGUGGUUUAAUUCGACGCAACGCGAAGAACCUUACCAAGUCUUGACAUCCCUUGACGAUGCUGGAAACAGUAUUUCUCUUCGGAGCAAGGAGACAGGUGGUGCAUGGUUGUCGUCAGCUCGUGUCGUGAGAUGUUGGGUUAAGUCCCGCAACGAGCGCAACCCUUAUGGUCAGUUACUACGCAAGAGGACUCUGGCCAGACUGCCGUUGACAAAACGGAGGAAGGUGGGGAUGACGUCAAAUCAUCAUGCCCUUUAUGACUUGGGCUACACACGUACUACAAUGGCGUUAAACAAAGAGAAGCAAGACCGCGAGGUGGAGCAAAACUCAGAAACAACGUCCCAGUUCGGACUGCAGGCUGCAACUCGCCUGCACGAAGUCGGAAUUGCUAGUAAUCGUGGAUCAGCAUGCCACGGUGAAUACGUUCCCGGGCCU
rnacentral:rRNA from 1 species